rnacentral:rRNA from 1 species
CACAUGCAAGUCGAACGGUAGCACAGAGAGCUUGCUCUCGGGUGACGAGUGGCGGACGGGUGAGUAAUGUCUGGGAAACUGCCUGAUGGAGGGGGAUAACUACUGGAAACGGUAGCUAAUACCGCAUAACGUCGCAAGACCAAAGAGGGGGACCUUCGGGCCUCUUGCCAUCAGAUGUGCCCAGAUGGGAUUAGCUAGUAGGUGGGGUAACGGCUCACCUAGGCGACGAUCCCUAGCUGGUCUGAGAGGAUGACCAGCCACACUGGAACUGAGACACGGUCCAGACUCCUACGGGAGGCAGCAGUGGGGAAUAUUGCACAAUGGGCGCAAGCCUGAUGCAGCCAUGCCGCGUGUGUGAAGAAGGCCUUCGGGUUGUAAAGCACUUUCAGCGGGGAGGAAGGGAGUAAGGUUAAUAACCUUGCUCAUUGACGUUACCCGCAGAAGAAGCACCGGCUAACUCCGUGCCAGCAGCCGCGGUAAUACGGAGGGUGCAAGCGUUAAUCGGAAUUACUGGGCGUAAAGCGCACGCAGGCGGUCUGUCAAGUCGGAUGUGAAAUCCCCGGGCUCAACCUGGGAACUGCAUCCGAAACUGGCAGGCUUGAGUCUCGUAGAGGGAGGUAGAAUUCCAGGUGUAGCGGUGAAAUGCGUAGAGAUCUGGAGGAAUACCGGUGGCGAAGGCGGCCUCCUGGACGAAGACUGACGCUCACGUG